rnacentral:rRNA from 1 species
GUAAACGAUGAACACUAGGUGUCGGGGGAAUCGACCCCUUCGGUGUCGUAGCCAACGCGUUAAGUGUUCCGCCUGGGGAGUACGCACGCAAGUGUGAAACUCAAAGGAAUUGACGGGGGCCCGCACAAGCGGUGGAGUAUGUGGUUUAAUUCGAUGCAACGCGAAGAACCUUACCAGGGUUUGACAUCCUGCGAAUCUCUUGGAAACAGGAGAGUGCCUUCGGGAACGCAGUGACAGGUGGUGCAUGGCUGUCGUCAGCUCGUGUCGUGAGAUGUUGGGUUAAGUCCCGCAACGAGCGCAACCCACGUCUUUAGUUGCCAGCAUUUAGUUGGGCACUCUAGAGAGACUGCCGGUGAUAAACCGGAGGAAGGUGUGGAUGACGUCAAGUCAUCAUGCCCCUUACAUCCUGGGCUACACACGUACUACAAUGCUACGGACAAAGGGCAGCAAGUUCGCGAGGACAAGCAAAUCCCAUAAACCGUGGCUCAGUUCAGAUCGUAGGCUGCAACUCGCCUACGUGAAGGCGGAAUCGCUAGUAAUCGCAGGUCAGCAUACUGCGGUGAAUACGUUCCCGGGCCUU